UGACUGGGUGGUUGGUUGCGCUUGUGUGCGUGAUUUGGUGCAACCCCCGCGCCUUGCGUGCGUUGUUCCAUCAAUGGUUAUUGUGGGGGGUGGUGCGCGGUUGGUUGGUUGAUGGGGUGGCGGUGGUGAAGAAGUUGAUGCCGCUGCUGCAACCAUCCGAGAGCGCGACGGUGCUGCGGUGGAUGCAUGGCCCUCAUCGUCGUCGUCGCGUCGGACGCGAUUUUGUGUUGGAUUUGUUUGCAUGCACUAGUGUGAGUGCGUGGCGCUCGAUGGAAAAGACGAACGAACGGGAGUGUUUGUAUUAGCUAGCAGGAAAGUAGUCGCUGGCCCCGUCCGUCGUCGAUGCAAUCCAAGUUUGUGAAAAUAGUGCGUUUUCCAGUAGUCCAGCAGCGGAUUUUUGUCUCGUUUGAAAGUGAAUUGCAACUGUUUGUCAAGGUUUCGAAAGUGCUUUUUGUGGGCGCGAGAAGCAAACGAUGAAUUUCGGUGCAAAGUUCGACUGCAGGAAGAAAAGUGCCAAUAUGUUUAGGCAGUAGCCCCACGGAAUGUGCGAAGGGAAGGUGGAGAAUAUCCUAAAUUUUUCCUGGUGUGAAAGUUCUCCAUCUCCAUUAAAAAAUACAACAGUGGCAUUCCGCGAAGGUAUUCGUGUGGAUUGAAUGAAAUCAAAAGAAAAAUCAAGUGAAAGUGAUUUUCUGCUUCCGAGUGAAGAGUGUGUUUCAUUGUACAACGCCUACUGAAGUGUGGUGAAUAAAUUCAUUAAUUUGCACUACUGAAACGUCAAAAUCCGACCGACCAUCAACACGAACGACGAUCAACGCAGUCGGGAGAUUUCGUGCAUGUAUUGGUGCAAGCGAGUCCGGAAUCUCGCGGAUAGAGAAGAAUAUCGCACACUCAAAUGAAUGAAAAUUACUAAAAAAUGAUUGUACAAAAGUGAAAGAGCUCAUCAACGGCUCAGUGCAGCAACAGAGCAGAAAAGCAAAAUAAAGUGGGAAAUCCCGAAGUUUGAAUGUUGUUACACCCCCAGAUUAUUGUCGGGAAUAUAUUUUUGUGAAUGUGAUGUGACCAGCAGCGUACUUGGAUCCAAAUCGAAGAAGUUAUCCCUGUUGCAAAAGUGAUUCCGACUGAUGACGAGAGUGUUGUACUAGUUAGUGUAGCUGUGGAUUGAUUUUUAGUUUCGGUGUUUGGAUUACCACCGUUCAGCGGAGAGCAUCAGAAGAAGGAAAAAGCAGAGUUUGUACAAUACUGUAAGUGCAGUGAGAG